CCGGGGCUUUGCCAGAAGCUGCGCUACAGAGUAUGGUCCAGUCGCCUGCGAAGUGUUCUUGGAAAUUCGCAACUAGUUCCUUCAAGUUAUCCUCAUGUGUGGCUCCCCAGGUGAUGCCAACCUGCACGUGGGAUGAAGAACCUAAGCCACUGGAUUGCAUCCCAGACUACAUUUCCCAGAAACCUCAACGGGCACUUCCGUUUCCGGCCUCGUCAGUCUUCGUUUGAGUGGAGCGCGGCCUCCGCUUGCUUCUCGGUUUCGGCGGCUGUGUAGUGUGGCAUGUGAAAUCUUAGUUCCCUGACCAGGGAUCGAACCCAUGCUCCCUGCAGUGGAAGGGCAGAAUCUUAAUCACUGGACCUGCAAGGAAGUCCCUAUCCUCACAUUUUAAUCUUUUUUCUAUUUUGGUGUUUUCCUAUGUUACCUUGCUAACUUUACAACUUCUUAGAUGCUCCUUACAUUCUUUAAAUACAAUACAUGCUUUUAAAAUUAAUUAAUUUUAUUUUUGGCUGUGCUGGGUCUUCAUUGCUGCAUGAGGGCUUUUUCUAGUUGUGGGGAGCAG